rnacentral:piRNA from 1 species
ACUAGGCCAUAUUGAACCCUCUACCUCACC